UACAGAGGUCCCAAGCGUUGUUCGGAUUUACUGGGCGUAAAGGGUGCGUAGGUGGCGGGGUAAGUCCGGUGUGAAAGCUCCGAGCUCAACUCGGAAAAGCAUUGGAAACUAUCCCGCUGGAGGGUCGGAGGGGAGACUGGAAUUCUCGGUGUAGCAGUGAAAUGCGUAGAUAUCGAGAGGAACACCAGUGGCGAAGGCGAGUCUCUGGACGACUCCUGACACUGAGGCACGAAAGCUAGGGGAGCAAACAGG
rnacentral:rRNA from 1 species